rnacentral:rRNA from 1 species
UAGGGAAUCUUCCGCAAUGGACGAAAGUCUGACGGAGCAACGCCGCGUGAGUGAAGAAGGAUUUCGGUUCGUAAAACUCUGUUGUUAGGGAAGAAAAAAUGUAUAGUAACUAUAUACAAAAGAGACGGUACCUAACCAGAAAGCCACGGCUAACUACGUGCCAGCAGCCGCGGUAAUACGUAGGUGGCAAGCGUUGUCCGGAAUUAUUGGGCGUAAAGCGCGCGCAGGUGGUUUAGAAAGUCUGAUGUGAAAGCCCACGGCUCAACCGUGGAGGGUCAUUGGAAACUAAUAAACUUGAGUGCAGGAGAGAAAAGUGGAAUUCCUAGUGUAGCGGUGAAAUGCGUAGAGAUUAGGAGGAACACCGGUGGCGAAAGCGGCUUUUUGGCCUGUAACUGACACUGAGGCGCGAAAGCGUGGGGAGCAAACAGG